AAAACCAGUGCAAGGGACCUGCUGAAACGUAUUGAAGUGGCCAUUGAAAAGCUCAAAUGUGGGACUAAUCUUGAAGAUAUUGGCUUGUGGUCGAUUAUGAAGGAUAAUAUUGGCUCCUUUUCACAUAAAACAUUUCUGUUUCUCCAUUGACGCUUUGCUUCCAAAGCUCACAGAGAAAAGAAAACCCACUAAGACCCACCUCUCACAUCUUGCUGGAACUAAAACUCUUCACUUGUGGUGUGUGACCAGAGAGGACCGAGCUACAUGGAUUGAGGCACUACUCGGUGCUAAAGAUCUUUUCCCUAGAGUGUUUACGAGCAAUGAUUUGGUACCUUCGGAAGAUAUAGUUGUUUCGACAGAGAAGCUAAGACUAAGAUUAGCACAUGAGGGAAUUGGUGAGCCGGUGAUCAAAGACUGCGAGUCAAUUAUGCUCUUAGAAGUGUCAGAGCUUCAAAAUCAAAUGAAGGGUCUUCAGCGUAAACAUGUGAUGUUGUUGGAGUCAUUGAGGCAAUUAGAGACAGAAAAAAUAGAGCUGGAAACUACAGUAGUGGAUGAAACAAAGGAGCGUGAGUCAUACAGACAGGGGAAUGGGAGAUUUAGUGAUGCUCUAAGCAGUGCUUCCUAUUGUAUAUUUGAAAGAGAUUCUUUCUUUUCUGAUCGAUUGCAUGGAGUUGAGGAGAUCAAGACAAUUAAAUAACCAUAUGUGAAAAAGAGGGAUGAUUUGCCAGAACCCAAGGAGAAAGAGAAGCAUAUUGGCUUGUGGUCGAUUAUGAAAAAUAAUAUUGGGAAGGACUUGUCUGGAGUUUGUCUUCCUGUUUAUUUUAAUGAACCACUCUCAUCGUUGCAAUAUUGAUGAAUACUUUUGAUGAAUACUUUUGGUUGGUCCUUCAAGAUUGAUGAAUACUUUUGGUGGGUAUCAAUCAAUAUAGUAUAUAUUGAUGAAUA